AGAGUUUGAUCCUGGCUCAGAACGAACGCUGGCGGCAGGCUUAACACAUGCAAGUCGAGCGCCCCGCAAGGGGAGCGGCAGACGGGUGAGUAACGCGUGGGAACAUACCCUCCGGUUCGGAAUAGCUCAGGGAAACUUGGAUUAAUACCGGAUACGGCCUAGCGGCGAAAGAUUCAUCGCCGGAGGAUUGGCCCGCGUUCGAUUAGCUAGUUGGUGAGGUAACGGCUCACCAAGGCGACGAUCGAUAGCUGGUCUGAGAGGAUGAUCAGCCACAUUGGGACUGAGACACGGCCCAAACUCCUACGGGAGGCAGCAGUGGGGAAUAUUGGACAAUGGGCGCAAGCCUGAUCCAGCCAUGCCGCGUGAGUGAUGACGGCCUUAGGGUUGUAAA
rnacentral:rRNA from 1 species